UUUUUAAAUAAAUUUUCUUCCAACAAGCACAUUUGCCAAUAGAACUAAACAUUCGUACAGGUCUUAAACGCAUCUCAAGAAAUGUAUCAAAAGUCACUUGCAGCAGGAGCACGCAGAAACAGGAGCCAGGUCAAGAAACAAGUCUUGUAAUCGGAGAUAACAGCAUUUUUUCCGAAAUCUUGGGAAACAUCAUAGAAGAUAAUGAUCAGCAAAACAAAGGAAGGAUGAGGGAAGGAAAGGAACUUGAUGCAGUGACCCUAAGAUCUCCAAGUGAGAACCAAGGAGAACCAUCAAAGCAGUCUAAGCAGGCAGGAAAAACUGGCAAAGAUCAGGAUGUGAAUAGACCAGCUAUUGAACCUACAUCUCAUCGACGGCUUUGGAGUAAGGCCGAAAAGGCAGCAGUAUGGCAACAGCUUUGCCAAUAUGUAACCUUAGAGAGUUCCUGGUAAAGAACCAUGUCUUGAAGCACUUAAAGUUGAGCCUGCACUGAGAAGCCAAACUUGGA